UUUGGUCGUAGACCCGAAACCAGGUGAUCUACCCUUGGUCAGGUUGAAGUUCAGGUAACACUGAAUGGAGGACCGAACCGACUUACGUUGAAAAGUGAGCGGAUGAACUGAGGGUAGCGGAGAAAUUCCAAUCGAACCUGGAGAUAGCUGGUUCUCUCCGAAAUAGCUUUAGGGCUAGCCUCAAGUGAUGAUUAUUGGAGGUAGAGCACUGUUUGGACGAGGGGCCCCUCUCGGGUUACCGAAUUCAGACAAACUCCGAAUGCCAAUUAAUUUAACUUGGGAGUCAGAACAUGGGUGAUAAGGUCCGUGUUCGAAAGGGAAACAGCCCAGACCACCAGCUAAGGUCCCAAAAUAUAUGUUAAGUGGAAAAGGAUGUGGCGUUGCCCAGACAACUAGGAUGUUGGCUUAGAAGCAGCCAUCAUUUAAAGAGUGCGUAAUAGCUCACUAGUCGAGUGACACUGCGCCGAAAAUGUACCGGGGCUAAACAUAUUACCGAAGCUGUGGAUUGUCCUUUGGACAAUGGUAGGAGAGCGUUCUAAGGGCGUUGAAGCAUGAUCGUAAGGACAUGUGGAGCGCUUAGAAGUGAGAAUGCCGGUGUGAGUAGCGAAAGACGGGUGAGAAUCCCGUCCACCGAUUGACUAAGGUUUCCAGAGGAAGGCUCGUCCGCUCUGGGUUAGUCGGGUCCUAAGCUGAGGCCGACAGGCGUAGGCGAUGGAUAACAGGUUGAUAUUCCUGUACCACCUAUAAUCGUUUUAAUCGAUGGGGGGACGCAGUAGGAUAGGCGAAGCGUGCGAUUGGAUUGCACGUCUAAGCAGUAAGGCUGAGUAUUAGGCAAAUCCGGUACUCAUUAAGGCUGAGCUGUGAUGGGGAGAAGACAUUGUGUCUUCGAGUCGUUGAUUUCACACUGCCGAGAAAAGCCUCUAGAUAGAAAAUAGGUGCCCGUACCGCAAACCGACACAGGUAGUCAAGAUGAGAAUUCUAAGGUGAGCGAGCGAACUCUCGUUAAGGAACUCGGCAAAAUGACCCCGUAACUUCGGGAGAAGGGGUGCUCUUUAGGGUUAACGCCCAGAAGAGCCGCAGUGAAUAGGCCCAAGCGACUGUUUAUCAAAAACACAGGUCUCUGCUAAACCGUAAGGUGAUGUAUAGGGGCUGACGCCUG
rnacentral:rRNA from 1 species